UUUCCGUAGGUGAACCUGCGGAAGGAUCAUUAACGAAUAACUAUGGUGUCUUGGUUGUCGCUGGCUCCUCGGAGCAUCGUGCACGCCCGCCAUUUUUAUCUAUCCACCUGUGCACCGAAUGUAGGUCUGGAUGACUCUCGUCUCCGGGCGGAUGCGAGGUUUGCGUGUGCGUAGCGCGUUCGCGCGCGUUGCGUACGGGCUCACCUUGAAUUUCCAGACUCUACGUCUUUUUACACACCCCAAACGUAUGAUGCAGAAUGUAGUCAAUGGGCCUUUAAAAGCCUAUAAAACACUAUACAACUUUCAGCAACGGAUCUCUUGGCUCUC
rnacentral:misc_RNA from 1 species